rnacentral:lncRNA from 10 species
GUUUUUUGGGCAGCAAAAGAUAACUUAGUAUUGUGGGAAGCUAAAAUUUCAGUUUCAGGGAGGGUUUUGAGAGUUGAUGAGUCCAUUUGGGGGAAGGAUGUAGUCUUAAGCUUACUUCCCCAGAAGCAAAAGGGGAAUGAGAUAAACAGACCUUUGGCUGGACUCCAAGAGUCUUUCAACCAAAGAAAGUUUACUGAAGAAAAAAAGAGAAACUUGGCCGAGAUCUGAAGUGUGAUGAGAAUUUGGAACACGGAAGACAAGCCAGGAGGCCCUUCUGAAAGUAGGAAGCCACAGAAGCAAACGGUGCCAAGGAGGACGAUCCAGGGCGGGCCUGGCCGCAAGAGGGCACCUUGCAGAAAGCACCGCAGUUGGCAGUAAGCAGGCAUUUUCCAGAAGAAUCCCGAAGGCAAAUACUCUGUUCUGCUCUCAGUUAACCUGUGCUACUGUCAGACCACAUACACUGUAGAGUUCAGAGGUAGCUGCUAUGGGAGUGAAUCUUCUUGCUGCUGCCAAAGUGAGUAAAAAUCAAACGGAAUAAAAUAAUAAUGGUGGUAUGGGCCCAGUCUUCUAGAGUUUUCCAUGCCCUUCAUUUCACAUAGCCUUCACACCAUCCUGUAGGGUCGGGAGGGCAUGAAUAAGAACCCUCCUCCCAAAGAUGAAAGAACAGAGAACAAAAGGGGCUGAGGGACUUUUGUGAGACCACGCGGCAAGCUGGGGCCUGGAAACAUGAGCUCAUCCAUCCCGGCCUUUCUGCUGUGGCUCUAUCAUCCACUUGUCCAGGGAGGGUGCCAGCCCUACGUGUGUUUAGUGAGAAGUGUGGGGUGAGAGCAACCACAGGAAAGAAAGCCCCGUUGUGACAACGUUGUGCCCUGAGCUGCCUGGCCCACUCAUUCCACUGGCCUGUGUUCUACCCAGGACGGGCCGCAUGUCCCAGGGUUUCUGCUGAGCAACCAGUCAGCGUGCUGCUGAGCACCCGGGCCCGAUGUGAAAUGGUCAGCUCCUUUCCUUCUACCAGUGCCAACUGCUGCACCUGCCAGCCUCUGCCUAGCCUCCACCACUGAUGCUGCUGUAAGAGGAAGAAGAUUCCUGUCUUAACAGAAUUCUCAUGCAUGCCUUUCAAACCGAGGAGCUCACAGGCUGACGGAAGAGGAUGACAGGGAGUGGAGGCAGCUGCACUCGGGUGUUUAUAGUGCACAUACAUGAUUCAUCUCAAACCAGACAAGCCAUGCUGCACCCGACGGCUCGCCAUUUCUCAGAGAUGCCAAGCCUUCUUACAACUCUGAGCCUCUGCAUGUGUCUAGAACAUUUUACCCAUAUUUCUCUACCUGCUGGACUCCUUUCCAUCCUUCAAAACUCAGACCAAAUGUCCUUGCUCUGUGAAACCCUCCUUCUUCCCAGGGGACUCCUGCAGGCCAGCAGCAGGGACGGACUCACCUCCCUGUGCCCUCUCCCAGCAGAUGACCUCAGCCCUCACAGUUGAAGAAGUUGGCCUGCAGGCAUGCGGAGGGAGUGCCCGCUGGAACCCAGGGCCAGGACAGGGCCUGUGCAGAGGAGUCCACCUUCAGCAAGACGGACCACCAAUACUCUGCGACUUAGAGAAGGAGACUGAGGAAUAAAUGCCCAGACCGUACUCCGCUCCUGCCCUCCUGGUUUCCUGCCAGAGUCUCCCCUUGUCUGAAGCCAACCUGAAGACACCCCUUGAGGACCCCUUCACUGUACUGGGACCAUGGGGGGCUGAGCCUCUGGGAUCAGUCACCUCCCUAACCUCCUGCAUGAGGAACAACUUGACGAACACACAUUUCAACCUGUAACAGGGUGGACAAGCAGAACCCUUCUUCAGAAGCACAUUUAUGAAGUUCCCGCAGUAACUGGCUCAGAGAGAAAUGCUGCUGUAACAGCUGAGAGAAAACUGAUAACCCUGAAAAUAAAGUGUCCAUGGAAAUCUCAUAUAUUGCCUAUUGUUUAAAAACAAUGUCUCACAUAAAAGAGGUGAUGGAUUAGUUUCUUUCAUUAUGCUGCCUCAAG